rnacentral:lncRNA from 1 species
AAUCGAAAAUUUUAUAUGAAAUUUUAUUGAUAAGAAAGAACUAAAACUUCACAUUAAUUUAAUUAAUUAAAACCUUCUAUGUUUGACACAAUAUCUAAUUAAAACAUAUAGCUCAACAUAGUACCUAAAAAUAUACAUGUUCGACAUAAUAUCAUAAAAGUUACAUGUUCGCCAUCUAUCAAAUCUUAAAAAUUGAGAAAAUCAAAUUGUAGCAUAAGUACAAAUAACGUCUCGCACCAACAAUAAAAUAAUAAAAUAUAACAUUAUCUUUAGCUGGCUCCACAAUUCUUCAACAUCAUGUUCUUUAAUCUUCAAAUUCUUCAUCUGUUAAAGAACAAUUUCCUCUUGAUUAGUAACUGAAUAUCGAAUAGCUAAUAUCUUAGUUCUAAAAUAUAAAUCAAUAAUUCAAUCACAAAAGAAGAAGCAUUCUAUAAAAUUUAUGUAUGAUCAGGCACCAAUUUGAUUAUUUAAAAAGCACUAGAGCCACGGGAGAGAAUAUGUACACCUAAAUCUGAUGGAGGCUUAGACAUUAUCAAUUUGAAAUAAUGGAAAGGAGAAACUAUAGCAACGACUCAUUAGUACAGAUAAAGCUGAUACAUAGGGGACACUUGGAAAAGAUAAUUUAAAUGGGUGGUAAAGAAUGCAAAAGGGAAGACUCCAUAAACUCAAAUAUGUUGAAACCAUUCAUGAUGUAUGUAUAGAACUAAAUCAUGAAGUAUUUGAAAAGAAGACAAAAAAAUCAGACAUGAUUGUUAGAAGUAUUUCCUAAAUUUGUAAUAUUUGAGAUACUCUUAGAACUAGAUCUAUAAUGAAAAUGUUGUUAAUGUAAUUAUUAUUAUAGAUAGGAGAACAGCCUAAUCAGGGGACUAGAAAGGGAUAUGGAAUGGAAUUUCUAAAUUAGACAAAGCCAACUGAGGAAGUUACCUUGCUUUAUAAUUCUCAUUCAGGUGAUACAAAAUCAAAAAAGAGCAUCGUUAACAAUAGAAAGAUAUAAAAACUUAUUUGUUGAACACAUGCUCGAAAAAUACAUAAUAUUGUUUGUUUCUUGGUGUAACACUGCCCCUUUUCCUUGUUAGAUAGAUACAUAGUUAAGGUGUUGAGAACUGUAUGGUGGCAGAGGAAAAGAAAGACAACAAAAUGGAGGAUAAAGUUAUAGAUUCAUGUCUAUGGUAAUGAGUGAUGGUUCAAUAACUUAACUAUUUUAUGAUAAGUUUUGUGAUACAAUGAUUUAUAUUCCAUGAAAAGUAUAUGUCGUUAUGCCUAUUACUUAUGUUCGGUUUUCAUAAGUGAGAACCUUGUAUAUUGUGUUUAAUAUAUGUUUACUGGACACAAUUAUGCAAUCAUAUAUCAUGUUGAGCAGACACAAAAUAACAAUAGACAGAGAAGGAGAAGGGCCUUGAUUUUACUAAAGUGAGCGGUUAUAUUACAGAAGACAAGGGCCUAAUUGGAGGAGAUCUUGAUUUUGUACCAACAAAUAUACACAGAACAUGAAUCUAAUUGAAGACCUACAGUUACAUAUGAAGAUGUACAACAAUCACAGUAGAGUAUAUUGAAAUGGCCACAAAAUCAAAAUCCCAUGGACAUAUCAGAUCAAUUUGUUAUUCCAAGACUAGAACACAGUAAAAGAUUUAACACCCAACAAUAAAGUUCAGACGCCAUACUAAAAUAAUAGUCAAUAUAUUUCAGUAUCAGUUAUAAUAUUUUUCUAGAAUUCACUUUAGUUAGCAUCCAAACCUAUAUAGUUUUAGCUUUGUGGCAACACAAAUAUUACCAAAGAUAUCAGAGCUGCAACAACAGUAGGAGUUAAAGCAUAGGGAGCUAAUCAAAAGAAAAAUAGGGCUACAGAAGUUCAGAGAACCAAUGAAAUCUACAAAAGAACCUACAUCAUUUACAUGAGCGUAACUAGUCCAACUAAAAAGCAGUAACGUUCAUAUACCCUUGAGAAUUGAGAUAGGAGAUGAAAUUUUACCAAAACGUCUAAUAUAUUCCUUUAUAUCUAAACACAGAAAAAAUUUAGCUAGGGCUCAUAUUUUCCAGGUGUUCUUGAAAAGUGCAAAGCUAAAGUAGAAAAUUUAGCAUCCUUAGUAGUGGUUCACCAUGAUUUCAGCUUGAGAAACUAAAACAUAGGAUCUAUCCUUUGUAUCUUGCUCGAGAGAGUGGAUUUGAUAAGGACGAGGGCUGGGGAUCUUCUGACUAGUAUUGAAGUUCGAGAGAAUUCGACAAAGAUAAGGUAAUUGUUCGAGAGAAAAUUGCUUUACAUAUAGUCCAACCUAUCCACAAAAAUUUAUCUUAUUGUGAGCAUCGAUGUUCAUCCACUAAGUUAAAUUCAAUAAUUGGUUGGUCAAUUCCCCAAGUGUUACCUCACUAUUCGAUCGUUUGUUGUUAAGUGUUGAAUUGGAUAGAUAAUUACAACAUGAGAUUUGAAGCUUAAAUUAAAAAGGUGCAGUAAGUGUUCAGCUGAAGAGAUUGUUGUCAUACUUUCAUAAUUGAAUUCGAAGGAAAAACUACUCUCUGUAGGAUCGACUCCAACUCAUUUAGUUGGGUUAUAUACUGACUAACAAUCGUUGACGCUUAGAACUAGAUUAUGUGUCCUUGAAAUGUUAAUCAAAAUGGCGCUACUGCCGGGGAGUAGCGUCACUUAGAAUUCUUUGAUUGAAGAUUUGAUUUGUGAAUUGUUUGGCUGUAGUUGAAUUGGCUUAGGCUGUAUUGUAUAGUGUUGGUUGGACUACAUAGAAGUAAAAAUGAGUGAGGAAGAGGUGAAUGGUAGUCAAGCAGGUCAUCGGGACGGUAUCGAUGAUAUCAAUAGUGUUUACAACCCAUCUCAUUCAGGUGAAAUAGGUGCAAUUUGCAUACCACAAGAUGAUGGGAAUGCAAUAUUUGAGGUCAGUAGCACAACUCUUCAUCCCCUCCAAAUGCGAGGACUCUAUGGAGGUGAGCACACGAAGACCCGCAUGAGCAUCUAAGAUGUUUUACGGAGGUGUGCAGCCCGUUGUCAUUCAAGAAUGUGUCAUAAGAGUCAAUCCGACUUCGAUUAUUUCCACUAUCAUUGACGGGGGUGGCUAGCAAGUGGUUGGCCGAGUUACCAAAAAAUUCCAUCACAUCUUGGGAGGAGUUGAUUAUAGCAUUCAAUACAAGAUUUUGUCCCCCAUCAAGGGUGAUGAAGCUAUGUAUGACACGUGGGUGACGUUUAAGAAACUCUUACUUAAAUUCCCAACUCACUAGCAACCAAAUGAUUUACUACUCCAAUAUUUUUACCAGAGUCUUGAUUCGGUUAAUAAAGGGGUGGCUGAUCAAUUGGUUCGAGGGGGAAUAAUGUUGCAAUCAUUUGAGGUGGCUUCAUUUCUUCUUGAUGACAUGACUAAAAUAAAUCAAGUGUGGUACACCCAAGAUGAUCAAGUCUCCCCUUUUUGUUUUUGAAUGACAGAAGAACAACUUGAUAAGAGCAUAUGAUGGAGUUAUUACAAGAGCAUAUGAUGGAGAAUGUGGAAAAUCCCAAGCGGACAAGUGGAGUGUUUAGAGUUGAGGAGGUUCUUCCUCUGGUUAUUCAAAGCCGGGGGGAAUCAAGGUUGGAACUCCAAUAGAUACGAGGAGGGUUUACACCCACGCUAUUUACAGCGGGACGGAAUAAAGGUUGGAACUGUCACAAGAGGGAAGAGCAAAGAAGAUACUAUCAAGAUUGGGCCGAGCAAAGUGACUAUUGGAAAAGGGAAGAGGACCAAGAAGAGGACCACACUCAGUCAAGUGAGAGCCCAAAAUCCAGAGGGAGUGCAAGUAGUCCACGGGCGAAUGAUUUGUUGUCACACAUCCUUGGUAAAGUCAAAGUUUCGGAUGACUUGUAAAAGGGAUAAAAGCCAACUUUUCAUCAUUAAAAAAUAAAGUGAACUCUAACGCAGAUGCAAUCAAGAUACUUGAAGGUCAGUUGUGUUCACUUUUAGCACUAUUGAAACCAAAAAUGAUAAUGAAAGAUGAUGAUAUAGAGCUGGAUGUGGUUACCCAAAGUGGAAAGGUGGCAAUAAGCGAUGUGACAGGAAAUGAAGAAGCUCAAAUGCAUGAAGAAGACAAAGGGAUGGAGGAAGAAGAGGCACAUAUCCAUCAAAGCAUUUCCAAAGGUCCACAAAAGGAUAUGGAGAAACACAAUCAAAGACCUAAAGUUAUGCAACCUUUACCAAAAAUAUCUCCUCAAUUUCCUCAACAUCUAAAGAAGAAGAAUGAGGAUGAGAAGUUCAAGAUGUUUUUAUUGGUGUUCAAGACAUUAUCAAUUAAUCUCCCUCUAGUGGAAGCAUUGUUGUAAAUGUCGAGGUAUGCCAAAUUUAUGAAGGAGUUAGUCACAAAGAAAAAGAGUUUGGAUUUUGAGACAAUCGAAGUCUCCCAUAGUUGUAGUGCAAUUAUGACUAAGGAGCUGAUAAAAAAAACAGAAAAUGCCGGAGCGUUAACCAUCCCUUGCACCAUAGGCAUGCUCCAAUUUUCUAAAGCCCUAUGCGAUUAGGGAGCAUGCAUCAACCUAAUGCCAAAUGCGAUCUAUAAACAACUUGGGUUGGGGGAACCGAAAGCCACAAUAAUGAGACUCUUGAUGGCGGACAGAUCAAUUAAACAUCUUCUGGGAAUAUUAUAUGACAUCUUCGUAAAGGUUGACCAAUGUAUUUUCCCGGCUGAUUUCGUCAUUAUCGAUUGUGAAAUAGAUGCUGAAAUUCCCAUUAUUUUGGGAAGACCAUUCUUGGCAACCGGAAGAGCGUUGGUGGAUGUUGAUAGCAGAGAAUUUAAUUUUCGGGUGAAUGAAGAUGAAGUAACCUUUAAUGUGUUUAAGUCGAUGAAACACCCACGUGACAUUCACGUGGUCUCCACUAUUGAUGUUAUUGAUGAGGCGGUGGCUAGUGUGAGCCUUUUGAUGUGUAUGAGUGAGCCACUUGAAGCCGUGCUUGCUAACUAUGAUGAGUUCAAAAUUCAAGGCUAUGAAGAGGUAGUAGCGGCUCUAUCAAGUUUGGGGGGUAUUGAAAGACUCCGUUGAAGUUGGACAUUGAUUUAAAAAAUUGAGAAAGUCCUUCCUCAAAGCCAUCAACAGAAGAACCACCAAAUCUAGAGUUGAAAGUACUUCCCUCCCAUCUCUGAUAUGCUUUCUGGGAGGAAAAUAACACCUUACCGGUGAUCAUUGCAGCUAAUUUGCUUGAUUGGCAGAUAAAAUUGUUCAUUGAGGUGUUGAGAAGGCAUAUCAAAGCUAUAAGGUGGACUAUCACUGCCAUAGUGGGCAUACCUCCCGGUAUUUGCACUCACAAAAUUCAACUUGAUAGUGAUUGUAAGCUAAGUGUUGAACAUCAGCGGAGAUUGAACCCACCAAUGCAAGAGGUAGUGAAAAUGGAGAUAAUAAUAUGGUUAGACGCAUGUGUGAUCUACCCUAUUGCGGAUAGCAAAUGGAUAAAUCGGAUACAAUGUGUACCGAAAAAGGGAGGCAUCACAGUAGUCCCAAAUGAAAAAGGAGAUCUUGUAUCUAUGAGACCAGUGUCCGGGUGGAGAGUAUGCAUGGAUUACCGGAAGUUAAAUUUGUGGACCGAAAAGGACACUUUCCCAUGCCCUUUAUAGAUCAAAUGCCUGAUCGACUCUCCGAGAUAGGUUGGUAUUGCUUUUUGGAUGGGUAUUCUGGUUAUAACCAAAUCUCCAUUGCUCCGAAAGACAAAGAGAAAACAACAUUUACGUCCCCAUAUGGUACUUUUACCUUCAAACAGAUGUCGUUUGGAUUAUGUAAUGCGUCGGCUACAUUUCAACGUUGCAUGUUAUCUAUUUUUGCUGACAUGGUGGAGGAUUCAAUGGAAGUAUUUAUGGAUGACUUCUCGAUUGUGUGUGAUAGUUUUGAAGCAUGUUUAGAGCACUUAGGACAAGUUCUCCAAAGAUGUGUGGAGACAAAUUUAGUCCUAAAUUGGAAAAAAUGUCAUUUCAUGGUUAAGGAAGGUAUAGUGCUUGGUCACAAAGUGUCGCAAGAGGGGUUGGAGGUUGACAAAGCAAAGAUUCAAUUGAUUGAAAAGUUACCACCACCAAUUUCGGUAAAGGGUGUUUAUAGUUUCUUUGGACAUGCCGGCUUUUAUCGGAGGUUCAUCAAAGACUUCUCAAAGAUUGCACAUCCUCUAUGCAAACUCUUGGAGAAGGAGGUGAAAUUCCACUUUGAUGAUGCUUGCAUGGUAGCUUUCAAGUGCUUGAAAGAAAAAUUGGUUUCCACCCCGAUCAUCAUUAGUCCUGAUUGGUCAGAAUAUUUCGAAGUAAUGUGUGAUUCAAGUGGCACGGCAUUAGGUGUUGUAUUGGGGAAAAAAUGCAACAAACUUUUCAACCCCAUUUACUACGCAAUCAAAACUCUAAACAGUGCCCAACGUAACUAUACAGUUACUGAACAAGAGUUACUUGCGGUAGUUUAUGUGUUUGAGAAGUUCCGGGCUUACUUGCUAGGUACUAAAGUGAUUGUUCACACUGAUCAUGUUGCACUGCGUUAUUUGAUGGCAAAGAAGAAUGCCAAGCCAAGAUUGAUAAGGUGGUGCUUUUAUUGCAAUAAUUCGACUUUGAGGUCAAAGACAGAAGAGGUUGUGAAAAUCAGGUGGCAGACCACUUGUCAAGAUUGGAAGGAAACGAGAAUGACGAGCUAGAGAUCGACAUAAAUGAUAUUUUUCCCGAUGAAUAGUUAUUCAGGAUAACUCUCAAACAACUUCCUUGGUAUGCUGAUUUUGCCAAUUAUAUAGUCGGUGGAUUAAUACUGGACGAACUGAACUUCUACCAACAAAAGAGAUUCUUGUUCGAUGUUAAGAAGUACUUUUGGGAUGAGCCAUAAUUAUUCAGAGAACGUGCUGACCAUAUAAUAGAAAAUGUGUUCCGAAAGAAGAAGCCAUUGAAAUUCUCCAUGCUUGUCAUGCUUUACCAUUUGGAGGUCAUCAUGGUGGUGUACGUACUGCUGCUAAAGUUCUACAAAGUGGGUACUACUGGUCAUCUAUCUACAAAGAUGCUCAUGAGUUUGGUAAGAAGUGCAUUCAAUGUCAGAAAUAAAGUGGAGUGUCCAAAUGACACGAGUUGCCUUUUACGCUUAGAAUUUGAGCUAUUUGAUGUUUGGGGAAAAGAUUUCAUGGGCCCAAUUGUGAGUUCGUUUGUUAAUAAGUAUAUAUUGGUGGCUGUAGAUUAUGUUUCAAAAUGGGUGGAGGCUGUUGCACUUCCAAACAAUGAAGGAAAAAGUGUUGUUCAAUUCCUGAAACGCUACAUCUUUGUGUGAUUUGGUACUGAUCGGGCUAUUAUUAGUGAUAGGGGAUCCCAUUUUUACAACAAGUAGUUCUCAGCUGCAUUGAGCAAGUAUGGAAUAAAACACAAAGUAGCAACUCCGUAUCAUCCCCAAAUGAGUGGCCAUGUUGAAGUGUCAAAUCGGGAGAUCAAAAGCAUCUUGCCCAAGACAGUGAAUGCUAAUAAAACUGAUUGGUCUUGAAAACUUGAUGACGCACUAAGGUUCUAUUGUACCGCAUACAAAACACCAAUCGGUAUGUCUCCGUAUCAACUAGUUUUUGGUAAAUCUUGCAAUCUACCAGUUGAAUUGGAACACAAAGCAUUGUGGGCAUUGAAAGCUCUAAAUUUGGACUAGACAAAGACCUCAAAAGAGAGGGUACAACAGUUAAAUGAGUUGGACGAAUUAGGGUCAAAGCUUAUGAAAGUUCAGCCCUUUACAAGGAAAAUAUGAAGAAAUAACAUGACGCUAAAAUCCUUAAGAAGGAGUUCAGAGUGGGAGAUUGGGUGUUACUAUGGAAAGCUCAAGUCCAAAUGGUCAGGACCGUUUAGAGUGACACUAGUAUUCACAAAUGGUUCCAUCGAAUUUGAAGGUCAAGAAGGACCUACAUUUAAGGUGAAUGGAUAAUGCUUGAAGUUAUAUACUUUGGCGAGUGCCAAGAGAUUUCUCUGAUUGAGGUGGUGUACCUGGAAGAUACUAGAGAGAAUUUACAUGUCGUGCCAUGACGAUAAAUAAGGUGCUUCUUAGGAAGCAACCCAAGUGUUAGUGUUUUAAAAUAAUGUGUGUUCAUUUUGAAGGUGGAAGAUUUUGUGCGGGAAGAAGAUGCUUUUGGCGAAUUGCCGAACCCGUUCGGCGAGAACCACAUAGUCUGCCCUAUGGACUUUAAAAAUGGGGCUGAGAUUCUGGAACAUUCAGCGGGAGACCUUUAUCACGUGUUGAAUCGCUGAAGUGCUUAGUCGACCCAAUUUUUCUCGUUAUUUUACUCCAUCGUUGACAACGUAACUCAAUGAUCGAUCGGCGAAGUUCCAAGUCCAUUAUGCGAGUCGCCGACCAGUUCAACGACCUUUUGCAUCUCCGCCGAUUUUCCCAUGUCUGCGAGUGUCACCCACGAGACCAAAAGGCAAUAUUCUACUCAUUGGGCACACCGCCGAAGCAUUCGACGAUUGUUUCAAUUUCUCGCCGACUGGGCGCUUAGUGAAGAUUCCUGAUCACCUUGCUCUACAUGUUUGCAUACUAUAAUUUUAUCUUUAUUUGCUAGUUUUUAUUUUUAUUCUUGUUUUAUUAGCGGGAGUGUCCAUUUUCUCCUCACAUUGGAGAUAAUGUUGAAUGUUUUUGGUGGGGGUGUGUACUUGGUCAGUGAAUUCCGUGAUGUUCUUGGACCCAUUUUUACCACCCCUUUACUGUGUUUAAUCGAGGUUGUUCUUGUGCAAAUUUGAGUGUCGGUUCUGAUCAAGACCGAUGACUUGAAUGGUGCCCUCAAUCGAACGAGCACGAAUGUGUGGGUAUGAUGAGGCCUAAUGAAAUUUCCUAGGCAAUAUGUGAACUUUUUGCAUCUCGUUUUGACUAGCCAGUUAUCAAAUUGAGUCUCUUGUAAUGAACAUUGCACACUAGGGAAAGUGUGGAGUCUUGUUUGUCUUUGGUGUCAAUGCCUUGUGUGAUGAGCUUACCGUGAACCAUGUGUGAUGACACCAAGAAUUUGCCCCGUUGGUCCAAUUGACUAAGUGAUGCAAUAUCUUGAAAUGAUCUUAGGCAACUUUGAAGAGUGAAACAAUUAGACAUUAUCCCUUUUUUGUGGCCAACCUUGUGAGUGUGUGAUCUUUGCUUGAAUAUCCUUUGAGCCUUACCAUUUUUCUUGGAAGAAACUUGAUGCAAGCCUUGAAAAGACCUUUGUGAUCUUGAGUGAGCUGAAAUAAGUGUUGGUUGGAAAAUAAGGGCAAACCUAUGGGUAGAGUCAUACAUGUGUUCAUCUUUGUGAGUGUAAGUGUUGAUUUUGAUUCCGGAGCUAUAAAUUGUUGAACCAUUGUGUGGGAUUAUGGAAUUAUUCUUUGGGUGAGGGCAUUUGAGUACCUUUGUUGAGCUUGAACUUGCAUUUGAAGCAAGUAUGGUGAACUUGAGAAUCUUUGAUAAUGGUGAGUCACAACUUGAAUCUUUUAGUGCGCAAUUGAUCCUUGCAUGAGUAAGUUGAGUCUUUUUGUGAGCAUUUAUGAUUGAGUCUUGUGUAACACUGUUUGAGAUAUCCUUUUUGAACUACCGAACUUGAGUUUUACUUGAGGACAAGCAAAAGUUUAAGUUGGGGUUGUUGAUGAGUCCGAGAUUUGGACUCAUUUAGGGCUUUAUUUAUAUAGAUUUAGUGUCCUCUAAUGCUUAUUUUGUACCAACAAUUGAUGUAAAACCAUUGAUCUUUAGAUACAUAGAUUGAGGAACAAAGCUAGGACAGAAAUGGGAAAUAAAGACAACACGAGGAAGAAAGAAAAGGGAAAGACAAGCUUGAUGAUCGCCGAUGUCACUCGGUGACUCGCCAAGUUGCCACCCUACCGCCUAGAGUUAUAGAACGUUGAGGCUGAAUUAGUGGCGAGCAGCAGUUCCACUCGGCAUGUCACCGAUCACUUGGGUGAUGGAUGACCAGAUAAGUGCCGAUGGGCAAGUGGAAAAGGAAAAGGGCACAUCGUGGAAUCGCUCGGUGAUCCCAAUCUGGCUCGCCUAAAAUUAUAGUGGCUGAUCUAAGAAGAGGUGAAAAAUGAAGGCGAAAUGAUGGAAAAUUGGCGUGUCGCCGAAUGGUAGGCGAAGCCCGAUUUACCUCGCCGAUUGAUUCCAAACAGCUUCACAUCAGACUUGCAUAAAUUGAUUUUUUGAAGAGAGAGAAGGCAUUCAAAAAUGUGAUGAAUAAAAGAUUGAAAGAAAGAACACUACUAGAGGCGAUUUCCUAGUGAUUUUAGUAGAGACUUUCUUGAUAUUUUGUAAUAGAGGAAAUUUUUAGUUAACUUUAAAUUUCAAUUUUCGUGUUUACCCAGCUAUGGAAAACAUGGCAGAUGUUGAUUUUCCUCUUUUUGAUAUGAUUGGCUAAAACCCCCUCCUUGGGGUUUUGACUAUUUGACCAAUUGUUGAGUUUUACUAAGUGGGUGUCAUUGAUUUGCGAAUAAUGCUGUUAAUUUGAAGUGCGUCUUAAUUGCUGCUGUGCUUUGAGGUCGUCUUGCAUGAUUAGUGUAACAUGUUCAAUGUUUUGUGCUAGCUCGAGAGAGAAGUUCAAAGCUAAAGUAAUAAAUUUAGCAUCCUUAGUAGUGGGUCACCAUGAUUUCAGCUUGAGAAAGUGAAACAUGGUAUCUAUCCUUUGUAUCUUGCUCGAGAGAGUGGAUUUGAUGAGGACGAGGGCUGGGCAUCUUCUGACUAGUGUUGAAGUUCGAGAGAAUUCGAUAAAGAUAAGGUAAUUGUUCGAGAGAAAAUUGCUUUACAUAUAGUCCAACCUACACACGACAAUUUAUCCUAUUGUGAGCAUCGAUGUUCAUCCACUAAAUUAAAUUCAAUAAUUGGUUGGUCAAUUCCCCAAGUGUUACCUCACUAUUUGAUCGUUUGGUGUUAAGUGUUGAAUUGGAUUGAUAAUUACAACCUGAGAUUUGAAGCUUAAAUUAAAAAGGUGCAGUAAGUGUUCAAUUGAAGAGAUUGUUGUUAUACUUUCAUAAUUGAAUUCGAAGGAAAAGUUACUCUGUGGGAUCGACCCGUACUGAUUUAAUUGGGUUAUAUACUGACUAACGAUCGUUGAAGCUUAGAACUAGAUUAAGUAUCCUUGAAACGUUAAUCAACUACCAAAGAGUAUAACUCGGUAUUAUCCCAUGUACUAUUAAAUGUGACCUAACCAUCCCAUGUGAUCUAGAAUUUGCAUUACCAUAUUUGAUACAUGGACAACUUAUCAACUGGGGUUCUCUAAAUUUUGUAAAAGCAUAAUCCAAAUAAUUCUCCACCUCAUCUAUGUAAGCAUUAGAAAGUUGAUUUUUAAUAAGUUCCAUCCAUUGCUUAUUAUAUUAGUAUAACAAUCGAGUUCAAGAACAACAUUAAGGAAUGGAAAUUUUAAUUGUUCUACCAAGUUCACAUAUCACUGGACAUUAGUACAGAAAGCAUAACUAUGACAAAUAAGAAUCAUAGUAGCUAUUUUAUUUUAUUAUAGGUGAGAAUAUUAAUAGCUAUUUCUUUCAUUGCUCCAAUGUUUGGCUUUACCAUGAUCCAUCUUCUAUUUUAUAAUGUUAAACAAAACCUCAGUCAGCGACAUCAUUUAGAGUACAUGCACAACAAAAAAUAGAACAUCACAUAACAGAAAUUUAAGAUGAAAUGAUUUCUACUUGAUUUAUUAUUCAACAAAUUAACAAGCUGAUUUGUAUGAUAAUUAAAGCACAAUUCCCUGGGUUACAGAUGCCUAGUCUAUGGAGGGACAAAUGUAACAUUAUGGUGCAAGCAGGCCUAUUAUUCAUUCUCAGGAAGUAUAUUGAUGCAAACCAAGGCCUACAUGGGUCAAACUCAAUGAGGAUGGUUACAACAAAGGUAAUCUAGGGUCAGAAGGAGGGGGACGUUUAAGUUUCUUUCUAAAGGAGACAACAGAGAAAGUACAAGUAAUUUAAUGAAGAACCUAACUUGUAGACUAUUUUUUUAUGAAAUAAGGCAACCAUUUGCAAACUAUUGUGGGUUGUAACUAAGAAGAAGGAUAGUUUGUGGGUGUUAUGGACUCAUGCAUAGUAUGUGAAAGGCAUGAACUUUGGACACAUACCUACUCCAAAACAAGCUAGUUGGGUUGUUAGGGAAGUCUUUCAAGCUACGACAUGGUGGGAUUAUGGUGUGGAUUGGACUGAGAGAAUGGAUAGUGCGGCUACAUCCAGAAAAUCCAACAUUUUCAGAAAAUGUAUAGAUCACUGCUACCUCAGUUUCCAAAAGUAUAUUGUAAAAAAUUAAUUUUGUCACAAGGAAUGCUCCCUAGGCAUCAAUUCAUCCUAUGGUUGGUGCUUCUUAACAGGCCAUCAACAGUUGAUGGAAUAACUAAACAAAGUAUUUACGUUGAUCUACAGCAUGUACUCAUACUCAUCUAUUUUUUUUACUGUGAUUACUCUGGGUAUAUUUGGCAGUCCCUACUUAACUAGUAAGGUAAAAAUAGACAGUUUGGUUCUUGGGCGGAAAAGGUGCACUAGCUAGCCUCACUCAUCAGACAUAGUAGGCCAAAGACAACGAACCUAGGCUUGUCAUUAUCUACAACUUGUACCUUAUGUUAUCUGAAAGGAACUGUAGAGUAUUUCAACAAAAGCAGCAAGAUAAGCAAGUAAGAUUGAAUGAGAUAGCCCUAAAAAUGCAUAUUGUAGGACAGAGCAAACCCAAAUGGAGGAAAUGCCUAACUAUGUUGAACUACUUCCCAUGUUAACUUGUGCACAAACUGUUGCUACAUGAAGAAACCCGAGGCCUGUAAUCUUCCUAGAAAGGUACCUGCCUUAAGUUACUGAUAGCUUUAGCAAUGUGUAUUGAGUAUUAGUAACUUGAGCGUUUUAGCGUUGAGAUUUAGGUCUAGAGUCAAAUGAGCUAAUUGUACUUAUUGAUAUACUUAGUUAAAACAUAUUCCUAUUUGACCAAAAAAUACCCUCAAAAAUAAGGUUUGAAGAAUCAAUCCAAGAAUCAUUCACACAUUCUUUAAGGCAAAGUUAAUAUUCCUACUUUUAGAAACUGAACUUUGAAUUUUGCCACUGAAGAAAAUCCACAUUUGAUUCUCUUAAAGCUAAUAUUUUAGUUAUUCUCUUUUGUCGGACAAUGUUGUUCCCAGUAAGCAGUAGCUAGUUCAGUACCAUUUUUAGAAUUUAUUAACAAGAAUUGAUAGCAACAAAGAUGUUGACAACAGGGAAUACAAACAUCCUUAAGUCGAAGCAGACGAUACACUUCACAAAUCAGAUUCUAAAUCAAGUUUAAGUACAAAUAAAUCAUUAAUGAUAACUCCCAAUCAAGAACUUACAUGAACUAACAGUAAGACCCGAGUUGAAGAUAAAUAUUACAGAAUGAAAAUUAUAACUAUUCUACCAAGUUCACUUAUCACAAGACAGAAGUACACAAAACAUAUUUAUCGUCAAUCAAGCUUACCAAUACAUAAAAUGCACACCAAUGAACUAUUGGAAAAACAACCAAGAUGGAUCAUAAUGCAUAAACUCAAAAUUGGGCAAAAUCAAAAUUUCCACAGAAUGUUCAUAUUCAAAACAAACUUAACAUACCUUAAAGAAGAGGAAACUUCAAGAGUGUGUCUAGGUAUGAUAACACUAAGCAAAGACCAGAAAAAUUCAGGUGAGAUUGAAAGUAAGAACAAAAAGUUCAGUUCUGCGAUCAAAAUGUGAGAGACCUACGACCUUAAUAUAGCUAACAAACCUAGGUAUUACGAGAUGCAUACCACUCGUUAUCUGCGUUCCUUUGCUGAUUUUUCUCCAACAACUGAAGUUUUGUAGUUAUCUAGGUUAAAGGCUCUCUUCGAUAUAACUGUUCAGUCAAUAAUUUCCCUAAUUUAUGCUAGAUUCUAUCGAGAAAGUGGGGAAAUGGAUGUGGUGGAGACUGAACCUACGAUAAUUUUGCCGACAAUGAGGGAAUAGGAGGUGAAAAGUUUGGAGUACUGAACUCUAAUUCUAUCAUAUGGGCUGGGGUGAGGUGGGUCGUUCAGAUUUUUAUUAGAUUGGUUAUAGUUAUUAGGAAAGGGUGAGGUUGGAGAAUCAAAUAUAGUGGGGUGUAUGAAAAUAAAAUAUUUAAG